ACGGAGGGUCCAAGCGUUAAUCGGAAUUACUGGGCGUAAAGCGUGCGCAGGCGGAUGAGUAAGACCGAUGUGAAAUCCCCGGGCUUAACCUUGGAACUGCAUUGGAGACUGCAAGUCUAGAGUGUGGCAGAGGGGGAUAGAAUUUCUCGUGUAGCAGUGAAAUGCGUAGAGAUGUGGAGGAAUACCGAUGGCGAAGGCAGCCCACUGGGAUAGCACUGACGCUCAUGCGCGAAAGCGUGGGGAGCAAACAG
rnacentral:rRNA from 1 species